rnacentral:misc_RNA from 1 species
AGCAGCCGCGGUAAUUCCAGCUCCAAUAGCGUAUAUUAAAGUUGUUGCAGUUAAAAAGCUCGUAGUUGAAUUUCGGGAUUAAUAUGCUGGUCGUGCCAUUGGUACGUACUAGUAUUAUUGGUUUCUCCUUUCUGAUGAAUCAUGAUGUCAUUAAUUUGAUGUCAUGAGGAAUCAGGACUGUUACUUUGAAAAAAUUAGAGUGUUUAAAGCAGGCUCGCGCUUGAAUACAUUAGCAUGGAAUAAUGAAAUAGGAUGUUUGAUUCUAUUUUGUUGGUUUCUAGGAUUGACGUAAUGAUUAAUAGGGAUAGUUGGGGGCAUUAGUAUUCAAUUGUCAGAGGUGAAAUUCUUGGAUUUAUUGAAGACUAACUACUGCGAAAGCAUUUGCCAAGGAUGUUUUCAUUAAUCAAGAACGAAAGUUAGGGGAUCGAAGACGAUCAGAUACCGUCGUAGUCUUAACCAUAAACUAUGCCGACUAGGGAUCGGAUGAUGUUAAUUUUUUAAUGACUCAUUCGGCGCCUUA